UUUUAACCUUUUUUACACCACUAAAUAUACUAAAGUUUUAAAAUUUAUUCAAAUAAGGUACAGCCUAUUUGAAAUAGGAUACAACCUAUUUACUAGGGUAAUGGUCCGCCUGUGUGACUAAGUGGGCCUAAAAGCAGCCACCUUAUAAAAAGCGUCACAGCUUUAUCGCAUGCAAUCAUUAAUUUAUACCUCAACCCAAAACCCCCCUCUACUACUGAACGACUCCAUACCCAUAUGGAAGACCUAAUGUUAGAACUAGUAAUAAGAAUUUAUUCUCUACAAAGCAUGCUUAAGCCAGAAUGAACUACUCACUGGCACUCACCGCCAAUGAAUAAAUAGUAGUAACCUCACAAGAAAACCCUACUCACUCAAACGUUAAUAAUACACCAAAGCUUUUUUAGAAAGAUUAAAAAAGGAGG
rnacentral:rRNA from 1 species